rnacentral:rRNA from 14 species
GCGGCGUGCUUAACACAUGCAAGUGGAGCGACGAAGCGGACUUCGGUCCGUGGCAGAGCCGCGAACGGGUGAGUAACACGUGGGUAACCUACCCCGGUGACCGGGACAACUCGAGGAAACUCGAGCUAAUACCGGAUGUUCUGCACUCUUAUAAGGGGGUGCAGCAAAGAUAGCUUCGGCCUUCGCAUCGGGACGGGCCCGCGGCCCAUUAGCUUGUUGGUGAGGUAACGGCUUACCAAGGCUUCGAUGGGUAGCUGGUCUGAGAGGACGAUCAGCCACACUGG